UGGUGGAGUGAUUUGUCUGCUUAAUUGCGAUAACGAACGAGACCUUAACCUGCUAAAUAGCCCGGCCGGCCUCGGCCGGUCGCCGGCUUCUUAGAGGGACUAUCGGCUCAAGCCGAUGGAAGUUUGAGGCAAUAACA
rnacentral:rRNA from 1 species